rnacentral:rRNA from 1 species
GACGAACGCUGGCGGCGUGCUUAACACAUGCAAGUCGAACGAAAAGAGCGAAAGAGCUUGCUCUUUCCGGAAUUGAGUGGCAAACGGGUGAGUAACACGUAAACAACCUGCCUUCAGGAUGUGGACAACAGACGGAAACGACUGCUAAUACCGAAUAAGUUCCAAGGGCCGCAUGGCCCAUGGAAGAAAAGGUGGCCUCUACCUGUAAGCUAUCGCCUGACGAGGGGUUUGCGACUGAUUAGCUGGUUGGAGGGCUAACGGCCCACAAAGGCGACGAGAGGUAGCGGGUCAGAGAGGAUACGCGCACAAGCUGGAACGGAGGCACGAUCCAGACUCCUACGAGAGGCAGCAGUGGGGAAUUCUCAGGAAUGGACGCAAGCGUGACGGAGCAACGACGCGUGAGAGAUGACGGCCUUCGGGUUGUGAAAAUCUGGAAUCCGGGACGAAAAGGCAGAGUGCGAAGAACAAACUGCAUUGACGGUACCGGAAAAGCAAGCCACGGCUAACUACGUG